rnacentral:lncRNA from 1 species
CUCACAGACAGACAUCAUCCACUGCACCUGACCUAAGCAAGAAUGAGUUCAAAAAGGAAAAGGAGAGGCUGACAACAGAGCUGCACUUCAUUACCCAGAAGAGAAAUGAGCAGAGAGAUCACCUGAUAGCUUUCAAAGAGGGAUCCAUGAACAAGAGGUAUGCAUUGCUCCAAAACCUGACCAGGCCCUUCUAGAAGAUAAAUCCAUUCUAAACCGACAUAGCCAGCUCAUGAUGGAGAAGAAUCUAAGAAGAUGCCUGUCCCACUGAAGUGGGAGAGCAAGAAUGUACAGAUUGAUUGGGCCCUCAUUCAGAAAUAUCUGGUUGGUAUGAAUCUGAAUGGUAAAGAGGAACAGGAGAAGACUAGCAACCUCGAGACCCAACAACGAGUCAGAGACUCCAGCAAGAGCUGAAAUUUCCACAUCCCAGGAAGAGAGCCUCCUGCAGAAUGAGUUUCCACCUCAGGAGCCCCCUGCUGAACUCCAUCCCCAACAUCCACAGUCUACCUUGGAUGAAUCUUAUUACAUUCAGUACAUUUUCGCGGUGU